UGUGCUGAAUUUGAUUAUUCCUCCCAAAAAUAGGAAUUAAUUGUUCAUCUACAAGUACAGUUAUUAUUAUGAUGAUGCCCCCUCCCUCCCUCUCCUAUUUAUCAGUUAUCAUCUGCAACUCUCUCUCACGCUACAUUCCUUCAUUAUUUUACUAACCCAAAACUAUGGUUACUCCUCCAAACGAAACGGUGCCCUGCGACUUCUGCAAUCACCGAAUUGCCCUUCUCUACUGCCCAGCUGACUCCGCCAAGCUCUGUUUGUUGUGCGACCACCACGUCCAUUCUGCCAACCUCCUCUCCCGCAAGCACCUUCGCUCUCAGAUCUGCCAUAACUGCAGCGCCCAACCCGUUUCCGUUUGGCGUGCUACUCAUAAUUUGAUGCUUUGUCAAGACUGUGAUUGGGACACCCACGGUACUUGCUCUGUCUCCACCGCUCACGAUCGCACCCCUGUCGAAGGUUUUUCUGGUUGUCCCUCCGCUCUGGAUCUGGCUUCGGCUUUCGGCUUCCAUCUCCAUGACACCAAACCGUCGGAUCAGAGCUGGAACAGCUGUCACCAACACUUGAUGAUGCCGAUCGCCGAACCAUGCUUCUACGGCAUGAGCGUCCAAGACUUAAUGGAACCUUACGACAGUUUAUGCAAUGGGAAGACGUUGAAGAAGCAGAAUCACGGGAGUGGAGGAAAGUACAAGCAGGUUCUCUAUAACCAGCUUGCGGAAUUAAUGAAACGAAAUUUGAUGGGCGACGUUGUGGACGACUAUGGCGAUGGAGGAGGUGGGGAGACUGGUCUAGUGCAGAACGCGGAACCAAACGCCAACUUCUUGGCUCAACAACAACAAGUUAUGCAGCCGCAACAGCAAAGGCAAACGCCAGAGAGCAAUCGCAUUGUCGAUGGAGGAGAGGUGUUGUGGAAUGAUAAUCUAAAUGGUCAAACUCCUCAGAUAUGGGAUUUUAAGUUAGGCGAAGCCCAAUUUGAAGAAGUUGGGAAUGAGGGAAGUGAUGGUGUUUUCAUGAUUAAGAAUUUCAAUCAACUUAUGAGAGAGACGACUUUGAGUGCAAAAUUACUGGGAGAUACGUGCCACUUUAAUUACCAUCCACAAGAUUAUAUGGAUUCAAUCAAUAUGAACUCAAGUAAUCCAGGUACAAGUCAGGGGGCAGCCACAUCCGAGAGCAACAACCUACCGAUGGCAAGGCCGUCAACAAGUUCAGCUUUUGGAGGAACCCGCGGCUCCAGCAGUUGCAGUGACCUUGUGUUCAUGGAACAAGCUUUCCUUGUGGGGAGCGACCUAGGAAGGCCAGCUGCAGCUAGCAAGGCUGAUCUUGAGUUGCUGGCCCACAACAGAGGCAAUGCCAUGCAACGGUACAAAGAGAAGAAGAAAACACGAAGGUUGCUUUUUCUUUUUUUCAUUUGGUUCUUUUCAUGUUAUCAUCUACCUAAUAAAUUGGUUUUAUCAAAAUGCCUUCAAUUAUUGAAAUUGGAGGCGUGCCAUGAACAGGUAUGAUAAACACAUACGGUAUGAAUCGAGGAAGGCAAAAGCAGAUAGUAGCACGCGAGUGAAAGGUCGAUUUGCAAAGGCUACUGAUUCUCCCGAUGGUUAAAGAUGUACUUGACUGUUGUAUAAUAGUUCGUAUGUUCCUUUACGGUGAAUGUAAUUUAGCAUUUAAAAUUUCUGGUUCCCAUCAUAUUCCAAGGCAGAGACCGGGACAGAGGAUGUUCAGCUUGUGGCUCGUCUCGAUGCGGUGAAGUCGUCUAAAGCAUAUUAUGGGGCUCAAAAUUCAAUGUUGGCACCGAACUCAAGAUUUGAACAUGAACAUUGCGAAGACUUUAAUAUCCGAUGGCACUGUGAAAAACAGAAAUAAGCGAGAGGCAGGUGAAAGAAAUUUAAAGAUGACCUGGGAUUUGGGGCUUCAGUUAAGCUUUUGGCUAUAAGGAGCCUUCAGGUAAUAGAUAGGGUAAAAGAUCUGUAUGCAACUAGAGUAGAGGUUAUGUCUUGAAUUCAUCUCCAAGUUCUAUAGAAGAUUUGAUUGCUAAGUGGCAAAAUCUGUCACUGAGACUGUGGAGUAACUUUUAUUUUUAAGGGUUUUAGUUAUGGAUUUUAAGAAUCAUAUCUUCAAAGCCAA